GAUGAACGCUGACAGAAUGCUUAACACAUGCAAGUCAACUGUGGCGGACGGGUGAGUAACGCGUAAAGAACUUGCCUCACAGUUAGGGACAACAUUUGGAAACGAAUGCUAAUACCUGAUACUGUGAGAGAGCUUUGCGUCCCAUUAGCUAGUUGGAGAGGUAACGGCUCACCAAGUAGAUGAUGGGUAGCCGGCCUUGGAGGGUGAUCGGCCACAAGGGGACUGGGACACGGUCAUUAUUCCUUCGGGAGGCAGGAGUGGGGAAUAUUGGACAAUGGACCAAAGUCUGAUCCAGCAAUUCUGUGUGCACUAUGAAGUUUUCGGAAUGUAAAGUGCUUUCAGUUGGGAAGCGGUACCAACAGAAGAAGUGACGGCUAAAUACGUGCCAGCAGCCGCGGUAAUUC
rnacentral:rRNA from 1 species